UGAACCCACAUGGGAUGUCACAGUGCAAAGU
rnacentral:piRNA from 1 species